UGGGGAAUUUUCCGCAAUGGGCGAAAGCCUGACGGAGCAAUGCCGCGUGGAGGUAGAAGGCCCACGGGUCGUGAACUUCUUUUCCCGGAGAAGAAGCAAUGACGGUAUCCGGGGAAUAAGCAUCGGCUAACUCUGUGCCAGCAGCCGCGGUAAUACGUAGGUGGCAAGCGUUGUCCGGAAUUAUUGGGCGUAAAGCGCGCGCAGGCGGUCCUUUAAGUCUGAUGUAAAAGCCCGCGGCUUAACCGCGGAAGGUCAUUGGAAACUGGGGGACUUGAGGCUAGGAGAGGGAAGUGGAAUUCCUGGUGUAGCGGUGAAAUGCGUAGAGAUCAGGAGGAAUACCGAUGGCGAAAGCAACUUCCUGGCUUAGAACUGACGCUGAGGCGCGAAAGCGUGGGGAGCAAACA
rnacentral:rRNA from 1 species